CAAUAGCUCCAAGUUUAACUCUCGGAGUCCACA
rnacentral:tRNA from 1 species